ensembl:lncRNA
CUUUCCUUGAUCUCACUUUCAAUGAGGAAAAAAAGGAGGACAGGUGUAAUUAGCAUCAAUCUCUUUUAUUCAGGCAUGUUUAAUGCGGGUUUGGCUCUGAUGGUGAUUCCAAGACUAAAGAAAGUGUCUCAAAUUCUUUCUCUUCUACCAAAGGCUAAAGAGGGUGCAUAUGUACCUGUUAGUUUUCCCGGUGUUGAGACAGGAAGGGCCUCUUAGCAGAUACUGGAUGCCGCUACAAUACUCACCGGACAUGUCACCCAUUGAGCAUGUUUGGGAUGCUCUGGAUCAGAGUAUACGACAGCGUGUUCCAAUUCCUGCCAAUAUCCAGCAACUUCGCACAGCCAUUGAAGAGGAGUGGACCAACAUUCCACAGGCCACAAUCAACAAC